UACGGAGGGUGCGAGCGUUGUCCGGAAUCACUGGGCGUAAAGGGCGCGUAGGCGGCCUGGCAAGUCGGUGGUGAAAGCCCGUGGCUCAACUACGGGUCGGCCACCGAUACUGCUAUGGCUCGAGUUUGGUAGAGGCAGAUGGAAUUCCGGGUGUAGCGGUGGAAUGCGUAGAGAUCCGGAAGAACACCGGUGGCGAAGGCGGUCUGCUGGGCCAAGACUGACGCUGAGGCGCGACAGCGUGGGGAGCGAACGGG
rnacentral:rRNA from 1 species